UACAGAGGGGGCAAGCGUUGUUCGGAAUUACUGGGCGUAAAGGGCGCGUAGGCGGCCUGCUAAGUCGAACGUGAAAUCCCCGGGCUCAACCCGGGAACUGCGUCCGAUACUGGCAGGCUUGAAUCCGGGAGAGGGAUGCGGAAUUCCAGGUGUAGCGGUGAAAUGCGUAGAUAUCAAGCGGAACACCGGUGGCGAAGGCGAGUCCCUGGACAACACCUGACACUGAGGCACGAAAGCUAGGGGAGCAAACAGG
rnacentral:rRNA from 1 species